rnacentral:rRNA from 1 species
UGACCUCAUUGGGGUAGGACAACCCGCUAGACUUAAGCAUAUCAA